rnacentral:rRNA from 1 species
AACGUAGGAGACAAACGUUAUCCGGAGUCACUGGGCGUAAAGGGUUCGCAGCCGGAUCUAUAAGUCUGUUUUCAAAUUCUUUCGCUCAACGAAAGGCAGGGAAUAGAUACUGUAGAUCUAGAGGUUUUUGGAGGGUAAUGGAAUUCCAGGUGGAGCGGUGAAAUGUGUUGAUAUCUGGAAGAAUGCCGAAAGCGAAAGCAGUUACCUACAAUUUACCUGACGGUCAGGAACGAAAGCUUGGGGAGCAAAUGGG